rnacentral:sRNA from 1 species
GAGGGCAAGAAAGCGAAACUUAAGUUCCCUUAAGCACACCGCGGCGACGUCUACGGAGUGUAAAAACCCAUGCUCUCAGGCCUAGGGUUUGGCCUGCUCAGGCUAUGGCCGCUGCUGGGAGGGUGUCGGUGCUCCUGGCAGCCCAGAUCCUGACUUCAAACCACUGCACUGGCGACAGGCUGGGACAGCCCUGCAGGGUCUAGCCCUGGAAAGUCGACCAUUUUCUGGACGGAGGGCGGUGCCAAGCCUCCAGCCCGGUUCAGCCGAGGAAUUGUGCUCAGUUCAGGACCGUCACGACGGCACCAGCAACGGGACGGCACGGUUGCCCCAGCUGGGCACUGUAGGUCAAUCUCCCUACACGAGCGCCCCGCCGCUGUCCCACACCCCCAAUGCCGACUUCCAGCCCCCAUACUUCCCCCCACCCUACCAGCCUAUCUACCCCCAGUCGCAAGAUCCUUACUCCCACGUCAACGACCCCUACAGCCUGAACCCCCUGCACGCCCAGCCGCAGCCGCAGCACCCAGGCUGGCCCGGCCAGAGGCAGAGCCAGGAGUCUGGGCUCCUGCACACGCACCGGGGGCUGCCUCACCAGCUGUCGGGCCUGGAUCCUCGCAGGGACUACAGGCGGCACGAGGACCUCCUGCACGGCCCACACGCGCUCAGCUCAGGACUCGGAGACCUCUCGAUCCACUCCUUACCUCACGCCAUCGAGGAGGUCCCGCAUGUAGAAGACCCGGGUAUUAACAUCCCAGAUCAAACUGUAAUUAAGAAAGGCCCCGUGUCCCUGUCCAAGUCCAACAGCAAUGCCGUCUCCGCCAUCCCUAUUAACAAGGACAACCUCUUCGGCGGCGUGGUGAACCCCAACGAAGUCUUCUGUUCAGUUCCGGGUCGC